CCUACGGGAGGCAGCAGUAGGGAAUUUUCGGCAAUGGGGGGAACCCUGAUCGAGCAACGCCGCGUGAACGAAGAAGUUCUUCGUAAUGUAAAGUUCUUUUAACAGGGAAGAAAGUGAAAUUUGUCGGUACCUGAAGAAUAGACUCCGGCUACCUACGUGCCAGCAGCCGCGUUAGUACGAGGGGAGCGAGCUUUAUCCGGAAUUCUUGGGCGUAAAGGGGGUGUAGAUGUCAUAGUAAGUCGUUUGGAAAAAUGCUGGGCUAAACCCAGUAGGGCAAAAGAUACUGCAAAGCUAGCGUAGUACAGAGGCAAGUGGAACUACGGGUGUAGCGGUAAAAUGCGUAGAGAUAUGGAGGAACACCAGUGGCGAAGGCGGCUUCCUGG
rnacentral:rRNA from 1 species